CCCGUCAGCCUCUUCUUCCUUCUUCCUAUCUUUUUCCGCCGCACAAAAAAAAUGUCUUUCCCUUUACAAUUUCGCAGCACAAACAAAAAAAAAAUCAAAGAAGAAGAAGAAGAAGAAGAAGAAGAAGAAGAGAACAAGAGCCUGAACAUAUUGGGUGAAGCAAUCGAUUUGUUUUUGGGAAAAUAAGCUUUGAGCAAGGAGCUCCUACAGGCUCCUGAGAAAACACUAUGAGAGGAUUGAAUUGUUGGUUUGUUCUUCGAAUUAAGAAACUCGAGAUUAGGUGGAGUUGAAGAUUUAUUUGUCAACUUCUUAGAACGGAGCAAGGAAUAAAAUUCAAUAUUGUUAUUAUCUUCUAGGUGAAUGUUAAAUAAAAUCUUGAUGUUUAGUUGAUGAAUUGAGAUUCUGGUGGUUACGCGAUUUCUUUUCUUUAGGUCGAGUUUUAUUUCAAGUUGAGGAAUAUUUGUUCAUAUCAAGUUAAUUGGAUUAAUGUUGAC